CCGACGUGGGCAUCCAGCGAGCUUCUCUCCUGGCUCUGUCCUUGUGGCGUAUGGGAGCGUAGCCUCGCGCCAAGACGUACAUUCCCAUUCCACAACGUCGCACAACAAGUUCCGUCCCCGACGUCACUGUCGGCGAGGAUGAACGUCCUGCAUAUUCCUACAACUUCCCAGAGUCCUUUGGGGCCCUUACUGGGGAGCCAAACCAUGCAGUCCACAUUU
rnacentral:snoRNA from 1 species